GGAUGCUAUCAUACCAGCACUAAAGCACCGGAUCCCAUCAGAACUCUGAAGUUAAAGCGUGCUUGUGCGAGAGUAGUACUAGGAUGGGUGACCUCUUCGGAAGUCCUCGUCUUGCAUUCC
rnacentral:rRNA from 16 species